rnacentral:rRNA from 1 species
CCUACGGGAGGCUGCAGUGAGGAAUAUUGGUCAAUGGCCGGAAGGCUGAACCAGCCACGCCGCGUGAAGGACGAAGGUUCCAAGCAUUGUAAACUUCUUUUGUCAAGGAACAAAAUCAGGCUCGAGAGCCUGACCGCGGGUACUUGUAGAAAAAGCAUCGGCUAACUCGGUGCCAGCAGCCGCGGUAAUACGGAGGAUGCGAGCGUUAUCCGGAUUUAUUGGGUUUAAAGGGUGGGUAGGCGGGGUGUUAGGUCAGAGGUAAAAGCCCGGGGCGCAACCCCGGAGAGCCGUUGAAACUGGGUGUCUUGAGAGGACGAGAGGUAUGCGGAAUGCGCAGUGUAGCGGUGAAAUGCUUAGAUAUUGCGCAGAACUCCGGUUGCGAAGGCAGCAUACCGGCGGGGAUCUGACGCUGAGGCACGAAAGCGUGGGUAUCGAACAGGAUUAGAUACCCUGGUAGUC